rnacentral:rRNA from 1 species
AUUGAACGCUGGCGGCAGGCCUAACACAUGCAAGUCGAGCGAGCGGCGGACGGGUGAGUAAUGUCUGGGAAACUGCCUGAUGGAGGGGGAUAACUACUGGAAACGGUAGCUAAUACCGCAUACCAUCAGAUGUGCCCAGAUGGGAUUAGCUAGUAGGUGGGGUAACGGCUCACCUAGGCGACGAUCCCUAGCUGGUCUGAGAGGAUGACCAGCAACUCGGGAACGGAGAAACGGUCCAGACUCCUAGGGUGGGAAGCAGUGGGGAAUAUUGCACAAUGGGCGCAAUCCUGAUGCAGCCAUGCCGCGUGUAUGAAGAAGGCCUUCGGGUUGUAAAGUACUUUCAGCGGGGAGGCGUUACCCGCAGAAGAAGCACCGGCUAACUCCGUGCCAGCAGCCGCGUAAUUC